rnacentral:rRNA from 1 species
UACGUAGGGUGCGAGCGUUAAUCGGAAUUACUGGGCGUAAAGCGUGCGCAGGCGGUUCGCCGUGUCCGAUGUGACAGCCCCGGGCUUAACCUGGGAAUGGCAUUGGAAACUGGCGGGCUGGAGUAUGGCAGAGGGGGGUGGAAUUCCACGUGUAGCAGUGAAAUGCGUAGAGAUGUGGAGGAACACCGAUGGCGAAGGCAGCCCCCUGGGCCAAUACUGACGCUCAGGCACGAAAGCGUGGGGAGCAAACAGG